rnacentral:miRNA from 1 species
UACCUCGUCGACCGGAAGGGUGUCCUUCCAGUCAACGAGGUACCUGUACCUCGUCGACCGGAAGGGUGUCCUUCCAGUCGACGAGGUACUUGUACCUCGCCGGCUGGAAGGAAGCCCUUCCAGUCGACGAGGUACUUGUACCUCGUCGGCUGGAAGGACACCCUUCCGGUCGACGAGGUA